rnacentral:rRNA from 1 species
GACGAACGCUGGCGGCGUGCCUAAUACAUGCAAGUCGAACGCAUUUUCUUUCACCGUAGCUUGCUACACCGAAAGAAAAUGAGUGGCGAACGGGUGAGUAACACGUGGGUAACCUGCCCAUCAGCGGGGGAUAACACUUGGAAACAGGUGCUAAUACCGCAUAAUUCCAUUUACUGCAUGGUAGAUGGAUGAAAGGCGCUUUUGCGUCACUGAUGGAUGGACCCGCGGUGCAUUAGCUAGUUGGUGGGGUAACGGCCUACCAAGGCUGCGAUGCAUAGCCGACCUGAGAGGGUGAUCGGCCACACUGGGACUGAGACACGGCCCAGACUCCUACGGGAGGCAGCAGUAGGGAAUCUUCGGCAAUGGACGCAAGUCUGACCGAGCAACGCCGCGUGAGUGAAGAAGGUUUUCGGACCGUAAAACUCUGUUGUUAGAAAAGAACAAGGAUGAGAGUGGAAAGUUCAUCCCUUGACGGUAUCUAACCAGAAAGCCACGGCUAACUACGUG